AUUGAACGCUGGCGGCAGGCUUAACACAUGCAAGUCGAGCGGAGUGAUGGUGCUUGCACCAUCACUUAGCGGCGAACGGGUGAGUAAUGCCUAGGAAUCUGCCCAUUAGCGGGGGACAACGUGUGGAAACGCACGCUAAUACCGCAUACGCCCUACGGGGGAAAGCAGGGGACUCUUUGAGCCUUGCACUAAUGGAUGAGCCUAGGUCAGAUUAGCUAGUUGGUGGGGUAAAGGCCUACCAAGGCGACGAUCUGUAGCGGGUCUGAGAGGAUGAUCCGCCACACUGGAACUGAGACACGGUCCAGACUCCUACGGGAGGCAGCAGUGGGGAAUAUUGGACAAUGGGCGCAAGCCUGAUCCAGCCAUGCCGCGUGUGUGAAGAAGGCCUUUUGGUUGUAAAGCACUUUAAGCGAGGAGGAGGCUUACCUGGUUAAUACCUGGGAUAAGUGGACGUUACUCGCAGAAUAAGCACCGGCUAACUCUGUGCCAGCAGCCGCGGUAAUACAGAGGGUGCGAGCGUUAAUCGGAAUUACUGGGCGUAAAGCGCGCGUAAGCGGUUUGUUAGUCGGAUGUGAAAUCCCCGGGCUCAACCUGGGAAUUGCAUUCGAUACUGGCAAGCUAGAGUAUGGGAGAGGAAGGUAGAAUUCCAGGUGUAGCGGUGAAAUGCGUAGAGAUCUGGAGGAAUACCGAUGGCGAAGGCAGCCUUCUGGCCUAAUACUGACGCUGAGGUGCGAAAGCAUGGGGAGCAAACAGGAUUAGAUACCCUGGUAGUCCAUGCCGUAAACGAUGUCAACUAGCCGUUGGGGGAUUUGAUCCUUUAGUGGCGCAGCUAACGCGAUAAGUUGACCGCCUGGGGAGUACGGUCGCAAGACUAAAACUCAAAUGAAUUGACGGGGGCCCGCACAAGCGGUGGAGCAUGUGGUUUAAUUCGAUGCAACGCGAAGAACCUUACCUGGUCUUGACAUAGUGAGAAUCUUUCAGAGAUGAGAGAGUGCCUUCGGGAAUUCACAUACAGGUGCUGCAUGGCUGUCGUCAGCUCGAGUCGUGAGAUGUUGGGUUAAGUCCCGCAACGAGCGCAACCCUUUUCCUUAUUUGCCAGCACUUCGGGUGGGAACUCUAAGGAUACUGCCAGUGACAAACUGGAGGAAGGCGGGGACGACGUCAAGUCAUCAUGGCCCUUACGACCAGGGCUACACACGUGCUACAAUGGUCGGUACAAAGGGUUGCUACACAGCGAUGUGAUGCUAAUCUCAAAAAGCCGAUCGUAGUCCGGAUUGGAGUCUGCAACUCGACUCCAUGAAGUCGGAAUCGCUAGUAAUCGCGGAUCAGAAUGCCGCGGUGAAUACGUUCCCGGGCCU
rnacentral:rRNA from 1 species